UACGGAGGGGGCUAGCGUUGUUCGGAAUUAUUGGGCGUAAAGGGCUCGUAGGCGGUCUGUUGCGUCAGGAGUGAAAACUCGGGGCUUAACCCCGAGCCUGCUUCUGAUACGGGCAGACUAGAGGUAUGCAGGGGAGAACGGAAUUCCUGGUGUAGCGGUGAAAUGCGCAGAUAUCAGGAGGAACACCGGUGGCGAAGGCGGUUCUCUGGGCCUUACCUGACGCUGAGGCGCGAAAGCUAGGGGAGCAAACAGG
rnacentral:rRNA from 1 species